ensembl:lincRNA
CAGCAGCGGCCCAAGUGUGGGGAGGAGGAGAAGCUGCGUUCAGACCAUCACAACCAGAGACCUAGGGCUGCCGAGGGAGUGGCUGGUGUGACCGGCAUGGUUCCUGCAGGAGGAAGAACCCACUCCUAAUACACAGGGCAGAGGAGAAGAAGCGUAAGCCAACAUUGCAUUCUGACCCGAAGAAUAACAUGCCAGCAAUCACAGAAGAGUCACAGUGGAUUCAACCACAGACUUAGAUAACAGGGAUGACAGGGACAUUUUUAAAGUUUCUUGUCAAAAUAACUGAUUAGUCUUGAAGUUAAAAAUUGGAGGCACAUGAGAAUUACUUUUCCCCUACGUAAGUGCCAGAGGUUUUAAGGGAAAUUUCCUGAGGAUGAGACAUGCUUUUUCAUCUUUUAAAUUUCCUUUUCUUAUAUGUAGCAUUGGAUCAUCACUAUAUUGGCUGAACUCUUAAUAUUCCCAUGUAAAAUAUAAAGCAAGUUAUGUAUAUAUGUAUAUAUAUAUGGACACACACAUACAUAAUAUUGUCAAGCUACUUUCAAUUACUUUUUAUCUGUACACUUAUUUUUUUUUCUUUUUUGAGUUGAGGUUUCCCUGUGUUGCCUAGGCUGACCCUGAGUUCACUGGUUCCAGCAAUCCUCCUGGCUCAGCUUCCUAGAUAUCUGGGAUUAUAGGAGCAUACCCUUGUGCCUGCAUUAUAUGAUUUAUUUCUCUAAGGUCUGUUAUGCCAUUGGAAACAAUACCAUAAAUGGUUGUGAGUCUCAGAUGUUCAUGCAAAAUCCUAUUUAACCCAUGUUGUUUAUAGCUGCAGCGUAAGAGCGAGAUAAACUCCUCGAGAGAUCUGCCUUCUAAUUCCAGAUUGCUGUAUUCAUUUCAGGGCCAUAGCUAAUCCUCUCUGAAACAUGUUUUUCUUAUCACAUUCAUAGUUACACAACCUAUAUUGUUACAUGAAAAGAGGAAAACAUUUCGAAAUCUGGAGCCAGAAUCCUUUUAAGAUCGUGACAUCACUUACGGAGGGUGUUUCGCUCUUCACAGUGCAGCUGCCGUCACAUCCCUUUGAACUUACGUUCCAUGUAGCAGCUGUAAAGAAAUUGCAGAGGGAAAAGGGCGUAAGCUAGCCGCCCUGUCACAGGAGCAUUUUUUGAUGCCCGACCAGACAACUUCUACUGACGUGCUGGACCAUCUAAUAAAGGAGCUGGAAGAUGCAAUUUCUUCUUCGAGGUGGAUGAUUACUGGUACCAUGCAGUGUUAGGGUUUUGUUAUCAAACAAAACAGAGGCAGUGAAUACUGAGUAGGUAGCGAGUGGAUGCUACAGAACAGGUGCAUGGGGCAUCCUUUCUCGGAGCGGAAGUUCCGUUGGUGGGCAGUCACGUGCACGGUUACGGGUCCUGGAAACCCAGUUGUGCGGCCGUAGAGAGCGCGGACUGUGCUCGGAGUUGUCCUACUGCAGGGUUCCAGUUCAUCUGGAGCAUUCCAGGGUGUAAUUGCGGCAUUCUAUAGCAACAUCAUUGCUAACCGGUAAUCCCGGUCACUCCAUUAGCUCUGAGGCAUCUCAGCUGGGCAGUGAGCCUUAGCUAGGAUGAGCGGGGCGCGGGAGUGAACUCACACACCCUAGCUCUGUGACCUUAGCAAAUAGCAGCCCCUCCCGUCGCACUGUAUUAGUUACCUGCUGCUGAGUAGCAAGCGGCUCUCAGAGUGUGUUAGUGACAUCCAGAGCAAAUGCUGUUUUACAGCUUCCGUCUUUUCCUCUUUACUCUGUAAGCACUAAAAGCCAUUCCACCCACGUGGUGGGGCAGACCUAGAAUCCCAGCACUCAGGAGGCUGAGUCAGGAGGAUGGAAAGUUCGAAGCUGGCCUGGUCUACAGAGAAAGAUUUUGUUUCAAAAAACAAAACCAAAAAUAAACAAACAAAAAAAGACAAC